rnacentral:rRNA from 1 species
UACGGGAGGUGCAAGCGCGAUUCGGAAUCAUUGGGCGUAAAGGGCGCGUAGGCGGUCUUUUAAGUCAGAUGUGAAAGCCCUCGGCUUAACCGAGGAAGUGCAUUUGAUACUAAGAGACUUGAGUAUGGGAGAGGGAAGCGGAAUUCCUGGUGUAGCGGUGAAAUGCGUAGAUAUCAGGAGGAACACCGGUGGCGAAGGCGGCUUCCUGGACCAAUACUGACGCUGAGGCGCGAAGGCGUGGGGAGCAAACAGG